GCGGUGGCGCGCGGCUGUCCGGCGUCCCUGAGCCGCUAGAGCCGGGCCUCGAAGCGCUUCCCCAGAGCCUUCCGCGCCUGGGAUUUGCGGGGAUCUCGCCAUGCACUUUCUUGAGAUGGUACUUGUAUGCCUGAGAGACCAAAAUGCUGAUUCAGUUUACCUUCCUGGAAACUGUAAAACUAACCAAUCAGAGGAUCAGGUCAUUGAGUAGAAGAAGCUUACCCAACCCAAAAUGCAUCUCUUUAAGAGGACCCAGUAGGAGAGAACUGCCCUUGAAAUGCUAAAAUGGGGAAAACAGCUUGAGAAUGUUAUGAGGCAAGACAGACUGACGUGAAAGAUAUUUUGAUCUCCAUGCACUUGGUGCCAACUCAAGACCAAGUUAGGAAAACAGUCCACGAUGUACUGUAAAGUAAUACUGAAUGGAACAGGUGAGUUAAGAAUGGAGUAAGAAUGGAAAAGUGAGUCAGACAUAAAGUCACAACACCCUGAGUUUGUCCUCAAGAUAAUUAUUGGUGGCAUUAAUUGGCAAAUUUCUGUUGCUGUUUAAUUGUAAACUAAUUAAUGCUACAAAUAUUUGCAUUUUGUAGAGAGUACAUUACAAUGUUCUCAGUAUAAAACUAGAUGGGAAAGUGGAAUUUAGUUUUAAACUCCAACAUAUCUCUUAAAUCACUUACUUCUAUUUCAAGCAGGAGAGAAAAUUAUUGUGCAUGAAACCUAUAAUAAUUUAGGGUGUUUAUCAGGAAAAGGAGAGUGUUCUGCAAGUAAGGGCUUUAUUUAAAUUUACUAAGGGAGAGUGUAUUUACACUUCUAUGGCAAUUUUUCGAUAUGACUACUUUCUAACAAAUAUGAAAUCUUUCU